rnacentral:rRNA from 1 species
ACCAGACUCCUACGGGAGGCAGCAGUGAGGAAUAUUGGUCAAUGGCCGAGAGGCUGAACCAGCCAAGUCGCGUGAGGGAAGAAUGUCCUAAGGAUUGUAAACCUCUUUUGUCGGGGAGCAAAAAGGCUCUGCGGAGUCGUAUUGGGAGUACCCGAAGAAAAAGCAUCGGCUAACUCCGUGCCAGCAGCCGCGGUAAUACGGAGGAUGCGAGCGUUAUCCGGAUUUAUUGGGUUUAAAGGGUGCGCAGGCGGAGGUGCAAGUCAGCGGUCAAAUUGCGGGGCUCAACCCCGUACUGCCGUUGAAACUGCAUCCCUUGAGUGCGCGAGAAGUAUGCGGUAUGCGUGGUGUAGCGGUGAAAUGCAUAGAUAUCACGCAGAACUCCG